CAGCCGCCGCGGGAAUACGAAGGGUGCAAGCGUUAAUCGGAAUUACUGGGCGUAAAGCGUGCGUAGGCGGUGAGUUAAGUCUGCUGUGAAAUCCCCGGGCUCAACCUGGGAAUGGCAGUGGAUACUGGCUCGCUAGAGUGUGUCAGAGGAUGGUGGAAUUCCCGGUGUAGCGGUGAAAUGCGUAGAGAUCGGGAGGAACAUCAGUGGCGAAGGCGGCCAUCUGGAACAACACUGACGCUGAGGCACGAAAGCGUGGGGAGCAAACAGGAUUAGAUACCCGCGUAGUCCCUGUCUCUUAUAC
rnacentral:rRNA from 1 species